CCCUAGUAACGGCGAGUGAAGAGGAAAGAGCUCAAAGUUGGAACCUGUUUGGCUUAGCUAAACCGGAUUGUAAACUGUAGAAACGUUUUCCUGGCACGCCAGAUAAAUAAGUCCUUUGGAACAGGGCAUCAUAGAGGGUGAGAAUCCCGUCUUUGGUCUGAGCUGUUGUCUUUUGUGAUACGUUUUCAAAGAGUCAGGUUGUUUGGGAAUGCAGCCUAAAUUGGGUGGUAAAUCUCACCUAAAGCUAAAUAUUUGCGAGAGACCGAUAGCGAACAAGUACCGUGAGGGAAAGAUGAAAAGAACUUUGAAAAGAGAGUUAAACAGUAUGUGAAAUUGUUAAAAGGGAACCGUUUGGAGCCAGACUGGCUUGAUCGUAAUCAAUCUAGGUUUCGACCUGGAUGCACUUGCGGUCUAUGCCUGCCAACGACAGUUCUUUCUGAAGGAUAAAACUAGGAGGAAUGUGGCCCCUCGGGGUGUUAUAGCCUCUUAGAUAAUACUUUGGAUGGGACUGAGGAACGCAGUGAAUGCUUAUGGCGAAAUUGCUAGGCGCUUUUGUUGAUAGAUGUUAGAAUUUCUACUUCGGGUAGUGCUGAUGUCUAAAGGUAAAACUCGUUUGGUUAAUUUUCUAUUCACUUAGGUUGUUGGCUUAAUGACUCUAAAUGACCCGUCUUGAAACACGGACCAAGGAGUCCACCAUUAGUGCGAGUAUUUGGGUGCCAAACCCAUAUGCGUAAGGAAACUGAUUGAUACGAAACCGCAAGGUGGCAGUAUCACCCGGC
rnacentral:rRNA from 1 species